rnacentral:lncRNA from 1 species
AAACGGGCAAACAGGCACACCUUAGCGAAUGGAAUAGCAACAACAGGGCGCACAGGAUCUCUUGCUAUCAAAACAACAGACAAAGAAUCGAGAAGCAAGCAUGACAUGUGACAAAGUACAACGGAGAGAAGGGAAAAUUUUGGGAAAUGCAAACAAAGGAUAAAACAAGAAAGAUACUAACCUGAACUAAAAGAGGAGGAGUUGACAGGAGAAUCCGAAGAGAACAAAAGCUACAAAACAACAAAAGAAUUCAGAAGUCGUGCACAGCAGAGGAUAUUCUAAGCAAGAGAGAGAAAAAGAUUCCAAAAAGCAAUACAAGCGUAAUAUAGAAUCGUAAGGAAGGGAAAAAAAACAAAGCAAUGGGGGAAAAACAACGGGGAGUUCAUAAUGCAGGGCGAGCAAGCAUGCCUACCAGCAGCCAACCAAAAGUUGCAGAGGUACGAGCAAGGUUCUAAGCAGCAAGGCAGCAACAAAGCAAUACAAAGGAAGGCGAAGGAAAUAAGCUGGAAGAAGCUUAGUUCAAACAGCACUGAUCAAAAUGCAGGCCUUCCAAAAUCCAACCGGAGACUCGUGAUAGCCUCAC